UGGCUCAGGAUGAACGCUGGCGGCGUGCCUAAUACAUGCAAGUCGAGCGAACGGACGAGAAGCUUGCUUCUCUGAUGUUAGCGGCGGACGGGUGAGUAACACGUGGAUAACCUACCUAUAAGACUGGGAUAACUUCGGGAAACCGGAGCUAAUACCGGAUAAUAUUUUGAACCGCAUGGUUCAAAAGUGAAAGACGGUCUUGCUGUCACUUAUAGAUGGAUCCGCGCUGCAUUAGCUAGUUGGUAAGGUAACGGCUUACCAAGGCAACGAUGCAUAGCCGACCUGAGAGGGUGAUCGGCCACACUGGAACUGAGACACGGUCCAGACUCCUACGGGAGGCAGCAGUAGGGAAUCUUCCGCAAUGGGCGAAAGCCUGACGGAGCAACGCCGCGUGAGUGAUGAAGGUCUUCGGAUCGUAAAACUCUGUUAUUAGGGAAGAACAUAUGUGUAAGUAACUGUG
rnacentral:rRNA from 1 species